AGUGAACGCUGGCGGUAGGCCUAACACAUGCAAGUCGAACGGCAGCACAGUAAGAGCUUGCUCUUACGGGUGGCGAGUGACGGACGGGUGAGGAAUACAUCGGAAUCUACUUUUUCGUGGGGGAUAACGUAGGGAAACUUACGCUAAUACCGCAUACGACCUACGGGUGAAAGCAGGGGAUCUUCGGACCUUGCGCGAUUGAAUGAGCCGAUGUCGGAUUAGCUAGUUGGCGGGGUAAAGGCCCACCAAGGCGACGAUCCGUAGCUGGUCUGAGAGGAUGAUCAGCCACACUGGAACUGAGAAACGGUCCAGACUCCUACGGGAGGCAGCAGUGGGGAAUAUUGGACAAUGGGCGAAAGCCUGAUCCAGCCAUACCGCGUGGGUGAAGAAGGCCUUCGGGUUGUAAAGCCCUUUUGUUGGGAAAGAAAAGCAGCAGGUUAAUACCCCGCUGUUCUGACGGUACCAAAAGAAUAAGCACCGGCUAACUUCGU
rnacentral:rRNA from 1 species